AUUUUUCAGAUGCUUGCUUGCAUCUUAUUUGAUGUUUUGAGAGGCCUGCGUGCCUCCUAAAAGGAAAUGUAAUUUAUUUUAUUUUUAUUUUACAUCUGGUUGUAUUUCUGUGAUGUGAUGUACAUCAACGAUCCAGCUGAAGCAAAUGCAUGAGAUGAAAGGUGAUCUAAGCGGUUGAUGGCGAUGGGAUCAAGAGUUGAUCAAGGAUCGAAUCAAGGAGGCUUGGAACCAAUUCAAGAGUUGAAGACCACUUGAUCGAUUGAUGUGCAUGUGCUUGUAAUACGACCUAAUUAGAAUCCAUGAUCAUCACCUAGUUAAAGUUUAGCUUUAAUUAUUGCCGCGAUUAUAACUGCCUGCAAUGCGCCGUUUGCAUGUGAUGUGAAUGAGAGUCGGGUAGAUAGGCUUACAUGUGAUGUAGCAAACCCAAUUGAGACCUAAAUCAAAACCUCCUACAAUCAAGUCGAGAGUGAACCGACAUGAGCAAGUCAUAUUAG
rnacentral:lncRNA from 1 species